rnacentral:rRNA from 1 species
AUUGAACGCUGGCGGCAGGCCUAACACAUGCAAGUCGAGCGGGGUUUUCGGACCUAGCGGCGGACGGGUGAGUAAUGCGUAGGAAGCUACCCGAUAGAGGGGGAUACCAGUUGGAAACGACUGUUAAUACCGCAUAAUGUCUACGGACCAAAGUGUGGGACCUUCGGGCCACAUGCUAUCGGAUGCGCCUACGUGGGAUUAGCUAGUUGGUGAGGUAAUGGCUCACCAAGGCGACGAUCUCUAGCUGGUUUGAGAGGAUGAUCAGCCACACUGGAACUGAGACACGGUCCAGACUCCUACGGGAGGCAGCAGUGGGGAAUAUUGGACAAUGGGCGCAAGCCUGAUCCAGCCAUGCCGCGUGUGUGAAGAAGGCCUUCGGGUUGUAAAGCACUUUCAGCGAGGAGGAAGGGAUGUAUGUUAAUAGCAUGCAUUUUUGACGUUACUCGCAGAAGAAGCACCGGCUAACUCUGUGCCAGCCGCCGCGGUAAUAC